ACUACUAUAAAGCCAAGCGUGAUCUUUGGUGUCAAAGGCUUCACCAAUUUUUUGAAGUCUCCAAAUUGUCCACCACAGAUACAAAGAUCACUAAAAUAAAAGAUAUCAGAGAGGGUUAUUCCUGUAAAAUAUCAAAAAAAAAAUGAAAGAAUAUAAAUACGGAACUAUAGCUUUGUGCGGCAGACAAAAGAAAAAAAAAAUUAGAAAAAAAGAAUCGCACACGAUCUGCAAACAAGAGAGAACUGCCAGGAAGCACGAUCUCAACACAGACGAUUUCAUCGCUGUUUUCUCCAAAUUUUGCAGGUAUCUUGAACAAAUGACUAAUUUCUUUUGUUCCUGGUAAUCGUUGCUCUCUGCUCUCCCGUUUUCCUUUUCUAUUUAAUUGAAUUUAGUUUCCCAAUUGCACAAUUUCUAUUUAUUCCCUGUCAUUAUGCUUUCCAUUGAUUAUCAAUAUCGAUCAUCACUAAGGAUGUGUUUUUUAAACUUGAUUGGAAUAUUGUCUCAAGAAUACAAACAUGGCAAAGAGAACAGGUACUCUUAUCCAGAUUAUAUUUGAUUUAUGCAGUUACUUUUUCCCAUUUAUCUCAUCUCAACCUGUAAUUGUAUUGUUUUGGAUUUUCUUGGCUUUUGCAACCUGUUUCUAUAAAUUCAGUUUCAUAGGGAAGAGAGUAGGUUCUCUCAAUUGAUGUGCUAUAAGGAUAAUGACAUAUGGGUUUAUAUAUAUCAUUUCAGAAAUCUAUUUAUAAAUUAAAGUCUUAUUUGUACCUUCAGCAACCUCUAUACUCCACCAAUAGCAGUAAUUGUCAAUUGUUUCUGGAAUUCUUCAGUCAUUGUAAUUUCAUAAAUUGCUACCAGUUCUCGAUCUUACUUCAUGAUAAUUCUUUCCCCAUGUGUGUUUAUUCUUUUUAGUAUUAACUCUGCUCAAUAUUCUAGGUGAACGUAUUAAUACUAACUCUUUCCUUUUGUUAUUUUCUUUCAUUGGAGUGCAGAUGCAGGACUUUGGAAUAUGAAGUUGCUGAUUCUUUGAUUUUAUAUCAUCCACAUGUCUAUAAGAGUACAAUAAACUAUACUAAUUGUUUCCCUAUGCGAAAUUGGGAAUUUGGAGCAUGCAGGAAUGAUUUUCAAUGGAACUUCUAUUCUUUUUCUACGAUAAUGGACACAAGACUAUUCAGGGUAUGAAAAUCUUUAUUCGGUAAUCAGUACCAACUUUCAAAGGUCAACAUUCAGGGUGAAAUUAAUUGUUGAUUAGAUGU